GCCAAAGAUAAAGAAACACCUAUCCUAUAAUAAUUUAGAGCAAUAUACCUCCAUAAUGGAACAUCUAUAUAUAUAAAGGUAUCCGUAUAUCUCUAUAUAUUAUAUUCAUUGAGUUUAAAGUGGCUAGGGUUUAUAGAUGUAUGUGAUAUUAAGAGAUAUGAAACAUAUUUGUCGACGGUUUGAGUGGUGAGGAAUUGAUGGUGACAGAAGAGAGUGAGCACACAUGGUGGCUUUCUUGCAUAUUUGAAGGUUCCAUGCUUGAAGCUAUGUGUGCUCACUCUCUAUCCGUCACCCCCUUCUCUCCCUCUCCCUCUCUCUCUCUCUCUCUACAGCAUUUCAUUUAGUUUUUAGAGUUAAACAUUUUGAUUUUGAUUUUUACAUCCAUUCUUUUGGUUUUACAAACAUGAAUCAGCAUAUUAAAAUGUCAAUUGAUAUACCAUUGUUAUGUAGAUUGUGUAAUUUUAUGAUCGCCACACCCUCCCUCUGCGUCCCCUUUUUUUUCCGGCGUCUCUCUAUCGAGAGAGAUAUCCCGAUUGGCUUAAUCUCAUCAGCUUACAUAUAGUUUGGUAUUUUUGAACCUCUCAAUAUUUGUGUUAAACAUUUUGAAUAAAUAUGUGCAGAAUUAAAGUCGACUUUAUGGAAGAUCCAAAGAAAUAAAUAUCAAUAUUAUAUAGCAAUAUAUGUGGAGUAGAUUUCAAUUGUUUUUGUUUCUAAUUUUCUAUGAUAGAUGUAUAGAAGAUUCAGAUCUUUUCUUGAGUUUUUUUUUACUGGUCAAAGAUAUUGUUUUCUUAUAGUUUUGUUGUUUUUGGAAACCCUAACAUUUGCAAGUCUUUUCAAUUUUACAAAGAUUUGUUUUUCUAUACAUUACAACUUCAUAAACAUUGAAAUCCCAUUUCACACGAAAACUUUCUUAAAAAUGAUUCUUGGUAUUAAAUUAUUAGUAACAUCUUAACAUGUAGUCUUUUUCUCUUCUUUUAAUCUCUUGUUUGUAUACUCAAAAAUUCAUAUACAAAUGAAAUCUAUCUUGAAGCCUUAUUGAAAAAAGAAUAACCACACUUCAUACCUCUUGGUUGGAGUCUAUAUGUUUUCACAGCUACCUCUAUCUCUCAUUCUUUGCACUUCAUUGAUUUACAUGGGGAUAAUGACGAUCCUUUUAACUUGUACUUUGUUUGCCAUUUGGUAAGAUAAAGAUUUGGCCUUGUAGGUCGUUUGUCAUCUCACACUCUUUACACAAGACAUGUCUCAACCAGUUAAUGUAAAAUUUAUUUAAAACAAAAAACAGUCUUACAUCAAGUGCUUCUGCUAUUCGAAAAAUUAAACGGAAUUUAAAUUUUAAAUCUAGGUAUGUACUCCCUGAUGUAAAAUUUGAAAUGGCUCAUGUUGUAUUUUGAAAAUUGUAAUAAAAAAAGACAAACUUUAUGAGAAGAGAGACUCGAUUCGAAUUCCAACAUGAGCCAUUGUAUGAAUUGUAUAUGAAGUUUAAUUAAUUGUUUACAUUGUGUGUAUAUUUCAAAAUAUAUGUUUCUUCUUUUUUUGUCAUAUCCAUUCGUUAGUUCUCUCAUCACCAUCAUUCCCAAAGUUUUUUAAUCUAAUAAGAUGUGGGACUACUUCCUUCCCAAGAUCUGGUCUAUCUCUUUUUCUUAGCUCCGCACAUUUCAACGCUAGAGUAGCAAAAGAUUGAGCCUCUUGUACAGGCCAAUCAGGCACAACGGGGUCAAGCAUUUCCUUGAAAGUUCCUUUACUAAUUGCCCUUGAAACUUGGUGAGCCAGCCCCAUGGGAGGCCUUCCGGUUAUAAUCUGAAGUAGCAAUAUCCCCAAUGAGUAUACGUCUGAUUUUGUGGUUAACAUUCCUGUUUGUUGGUAUUCAGGGUCUAUGUAACAAAACGUUCCUGCCGCAGAUGUCAUGUGGAAUUGCGUGACGCUAUCAGCUAUCGAUGCGGGGACUAACCGCGCUAAACCAACGUCGCUGAUCUUGCUCACGUAGUUUUUGUCUAAGAGUAUAUUGGCUGGUUUUAGGUCGCGGUGAACUAAAGGUUCUGGCUUAGCUUGAUGAAGGAAUGAGAGUGCGGUAGCAAUCUCCGCCGCUAUUUCAAAACGUUUCCUCCACGAAAGCGGUGGAGAGUUUCCAGUACGAAAAAGUCUAUCCUCUAAGCUCCCAUUUUCCAUGAACUCGUAAACCAAACAUCCAUAUUCAGGACAUGCACCAAGGAGAAGAACCAUGUGAGGAUGCCUUAUGGAACAUAGAACCUCAACCUAUAAAAUAAGAACAAAAAUAUGUAUGAUUUACGCAAAAGCAUAAAACAAAAUAGAAAAUAGAUAAAAUCUUACUUCUUGUUGAAAUUGUUUUUUUCCUUGAGCAGCAUCAGGUCUUAAAACUUUAAUGGCAACAGGAGUGUGGUCAAGUUCACCAUUGUACACAGGUCCAUAUCCUCCUUCACCAAUCUUCCUAUGAUUUGCAAACCUCUCUGUAGCUUCUUCGAUCUCUUCUAUACUAUAUUUUCUGUAGCGAACAUCGUUAUGUGCCAAAGCACUCACUGCGCGGUCUUUGUCCUUUUCUUCACUUACAGCUUUCAUCUCUGCUUGCUUCCUUCUUUGUCCUUCUAGUUCAGCCAUUCUUUGAGCUUUCUCAGCUGCUUCUACGGCUGUUCUACACUUUGCUUUCUCGAUUUCAGCAACUGCCAAUGCUGCUUCUUCAGAAAGCCUCGCUUUCUCGAAUUUACGAGCUUCUUCUAUCUUCCAUUGAUUUAGCUCGUUUGCCUAGAAAAUAAAAGAAGCCAUGAGUACCGUGCUCAACAAGAAACUUGCUCAAAUUAAACUAUUUACCUUUCUUUUUGCCGUAAGUGCUUCUUUACAAGCUGAGCUAUACAUGUCCAUAGUUUGCUUAAGUUCAAGCUUUAGCCUUCUCAUCUCAGCUUCAAUAUCUUUCUGCAAAUAAAGCAACAACCAUAUUUACAUUUAGAGCCUUUCAAACUUAAUUCUUGAACCUAAAAAGAAAUUCGUUCAAGAAAACGUACAGUUGAUUGUGGAAUUGACUCUUCUGAAGAACUCGAUGCACCAUGAUAAAAAUCCAUACUAUUUUGAGAAGAGAGAUCAACUGAACCCAUCACUCCAAACCCACCAUCAGAUUCAUCAGAAAACGAACUUUGUAACGUGGGAUUUCUUUGGAAGGCAGCUUGAUUAAAGCCGUUGUUGAAAUCCAUCGACCCAUUUAUAGGGCUUUUGUAACCUUUUUGCGUCGUGUUGAAGGCGGCACGAUUAUGCGGAUAAGUAGUCUCAUUAGGUUUGUUCCUUGCACUACGCUGGACCCUAAAACGUAUCAAGAAAACAAUAACAUUUGCUUUUAGUAAAAGUUUUGAGAGAAAACUGAUAAAAAGAACCGAAGGUUGGGUUACCUAGGUAUGAGAUCUUGCUCGCUAUCGGAUAAAGAUUGGAUUAAAAAGCCAGAGGAUGGAACACGAGGCGGGGCAAGCGUAUUGGUGAUAGGUCUUUGAGCUGGUCGGGAAGACUGAACUUUCCCUCCUUUAGAAAUGACAUACACCGAACAAAAAUCAGGCGUCGAUUUCAUUAUGCUAGAUUGCACCUCAUGUGGUUUACUAAACAUAAAAGACCUAGCGAAGGUGUUCUUCGUGGAUGCUCCCAAUACAAGAUUGUUAAC